AGGUAAUGCCUCCUGUACCUAUAUCACUGGAGACACUCGGUCAUGCUGUGGGUGCUGAUACCUUAGACGUUAAUCGUCAAGGGUGUGACGUGAGGAAGGGUUAAAUGCCCG
rfam:Paenibacillus sp. FSL H7-0357, complete genome.